AGUGAACGCUGGCGGUAGGCCUAACACAUGCAGGUCGAACGGCAGCACAGGAGAGCUUGCUCUCUGGGUGGCGAGUGGCGGACGGGUGAGGAAUACAUCGGAAUCUACUUUUUCGUGGGGGAUAACGUAGGGAAACUUACGCUAAUACCGCAUACGACCUACGGGUGAAAGCAGGGGAUCUUCGGACCUUGCGCGAUUGAAUGAGCCGAUGUCGGAUUAGCUAGUUGGCGGGGUAAAGGCCCACCAAGGCGACGAGCCGUAGCUGGUCUGAGAGGAUGAUCAGCCACACUGGAACUGAGACACGGUCCAGACUCCUACGGGAGGCAGCAGUGGGGAAUAUUGGACAAUGGGCGCAAGCCUGAUCCAGCCAUACCGCGUGGGUGAAGAAGGCCUUCGGGUUGUAAAGCCCUUUUGUUGGGAAAGAAAUCCAGCUGGUUAAUACCCGGUUGGGAUGACGGUACCCAAAGAAUAAGCACCGGCUAACUUCGUGCCAGCCGCCGCAGUAA
rnacentral:rRNA from 1 species